CCCGGUCCCGCCUCAUGCCUCCCCUUCAAGCGAUGGAGCAUCAAAAACAAUUUAGGUAGCCGGCACUUAUCUAUAAGGAUAUCUCUAUAUGAUGUGUGUCAUCUCCAGGUGCUUUACAAACAGAUUCUCAGAAAAAGUACAGAUGUCGCUGACACCGUGACAGGGCCUGGUAGAAGCGUUGCAAUGGAAAACAAGAGAUUCGGACCGACAGGAGAAUGUGACGUGUAAGCCAACAGCUGGCAGACAUGCAGCCAGGCCUGU